CCGCCUUACGAACAUGUCGGGCUGUUCGGAUUCCUUUAGAAAAAAACUUCUGCACAGUUUUAGAGGUAGUCGUUGUAGGAUCUACUAGUCACGACUAGCUAGCGCGGGUGCGCGCACCGGGACCACUCCUAAAUAGUACCCAUGUUGUGGUCGGGGUCUUUUGAAAGAGAGGUCUAUAAUCUGUUCACGAGUGAGGAACUGACUGAAGUUUGCCACAAGCUCUCGAUGUGAUGGUCACCAAUAUGAAGAAGCAUCUGGAGAAGAUCCACACCUGUUACGACAACGAACAGGUCUCCUGGUGCCGUGUGCCCGACACUCCACCGACCGAACUGGGUACCAUCCUGGAUCGGUUGUAUACCAAGACGGAUGCUUUUGUAUUGAUGAUGGAAACUUUUGAGAUCAUUCGUGCCACCACGCUGCAGCUCGAAGACUUGGACACAGUGAAACAGGCCAUGACACCACGCUGAAAACUUCCAGUGACUCGUUCUUUCUGACCCUGAAAGAUUUCCUCGGCCAAAUUACUCCACCUGCUGUCGACCAAAGUGCCAAUAGCUAUCUUUCUGUGUGAUAAUGGGACCUUCCAGAAGGGAGCAGGUAGUCCUGUCUAACAUGUAAGACCAAACAGCCUGAUUUCAAAUUGCACUUUUGUUCCCUCCACAUUCCAAAAGUUUUGUCUACUUCCUUAACAGCCUAAUACUUUGUGCAUGUUUUCUCCUAUUCAAACUCCAGGAUUUUGGAGACUUGGGGCAGUAAAUGAGGAGGCAAUGCUUUGUGAAGUUGGCCAGAGGCUAGUAACCUCACCGUCUACCUUUGUGUGUAUGUGUACAGUUCUUGCAUCAUUUUAUAAUAAAAAUGUGGAGGCGCAAUGGCCCAGUGGUUAGGGCAGCGGACUCGCGGUUAUAGGA